UCAAUGAUGAAGAUGCUGCUGCUUCUGCUGCUUCUGGGGCCCACAGGCUCUGGGCUUGGUGCUCAUGUCUCUCAACAUCCAAGGAGGGCCAUCUGUAAGAGUGGGACCUCUGUGAAGAUCGAGUGUCGCUCUGUGGGCAUCCAGUUCCAAACUGUGUUUUGGUACCGCCAGUUCCCGAAAGAGAGCUUUGUGCUCAUGGCAACUUCUAAUCAAGGCUCUGAUGUCACCUGGGAACAAGAUAUUGCCCAGGACAAGUUUUCUGUCAGUCACCCAAACAGCACCUUUGCAUCUCUGAUGGUGACCAGUGCACAUUCUGAAGACAGUGGCUUCUACUUCUGUGGUGCCAGUGACACAGUGCUGGGUGUAAGCCAGAGACCUAGCAUGGAUGAGUGCCCCACCCAGCCUGCCUCCUGUACCAGCCGACUGCUAGAGACCCAGCCGGCUGUCCACAUGCAUCAGCGUAGGGGAAUGGGACAAUAG